GCCAGCAUGCCAUAGUGGUUUGAAUGCUGGACUAUGACUCUGGAGACCAGGGUUCGAAUCCCCGCUUGGUCA
rnacentral:tRNA from 1 species